CUAUUUCCCAUGAAGUGAUGGGACCAGAUGACAGUCCUUUCUAGCUUCUUAUAAAAGCAGUGUUGGCUCCUCCCCAUCCCCAGCUGAGGUUCCAACACUUUGAGUCAGACAAGACUUAGCUAUUGAACAACGACAGCAAGGCCCCCAGCCCCAGAUAACUAAUCACACAGCAGUGGGAGAGGGGGCCGGCCUUGGGACCACUGAAAAGGCUUAUAUGACUGUGUGGCUUCUUGGGACAAAGACCUAGCUGAUGACAAGACAUUGGCGAUUUCAGCAGCCACUGUGAUGGGGGUUCGCUGCGGUGGUGAUGACUGCAGAGAGACCGCGUGGUGUGGACUGUGCUGCGGAAAGCUGGGGCCUUGCAUUUCUAGCUAGAGGUGCAGUCAUGGACAGAACCAGAGAGCCCCAGUAACAGCCCUAGAAGAAAUCUCUUAUUCUGUACCUGUGGAGUCAUCAGAACUGAGGACCAGACUCCAAUCCUGAUUGUUUGAGUUGUAGAUUAUGGUGUGAGUUGAAUACACAGUCCUACCAAGUCUCUCCUAUUAAGGGUGGAUUGCUUCUUGCCUGGAGAAUCCCAGGGAUGGGGGAGCCUGGUGGGCUGCCCUCUCUGGGGUCGCACAGAGUCGGACACUACUGAAGCGACUUAGCAGCAGCAGCAGCAGCUAAUUAAGAAGAAGUGGACCCCAAGAUCUGGGAUGGAGAUGUUUGAAUAAAACGUGAAAACCCAAACCACCUGAACCUUCCUCAACACAGCAGGAUCCCCCUCCUCGUGUGUGUGCAGAGUCUGGCCUUUCCUUGAUUUGCUAAAGAACCAGGAUUGCUCUUCUCAGUGGCAAAUAAGGCAGAAUUCAAAAUGACUCAAAUCAUCCAGAAGAAGGAAUGAGAGAGUGGACAAACAAAAAUCAUAGAGGGAAACAGAAAGACGUUCAGAACUCUUCAUAAAUCCAGCCCAAGCACACUAGUGACUGCAGCACGCUUGUGAGUGGGUGAAACGCCCUGUCAAAAGGCUGAGACCGCCGGAAUGAGGGAAGGAAAAAGCAGGAUUUAAUCACAGGCUAUGUGAGGACCUAUUUUAAUACAAAGACAUACACUGGUUGGCAGUAAAUGAGCAGAGGAGAGAUAUACCACGAAAACAGCAAGUGUAGCAAGGCUGGAGUUGUCACAUUAACAUCAGGCACGGAGAAGGCGAUGGCACCCACUCCAGUGCUCUUGCCUGGAAAAUCCCAUGACGGAGGAGCCUGGAAGGCUGCAGUCCAUGGAGUCGCUGAGGGUCGGACUCAACUGAGUGACUUCACUUUCACUUUUCACUUUCAUGCAUUGGAGAAGGAAAUGGCAACCCGUUCCAGUGUUCUUGCCUGGAGAAUCCCAGGGAUGGUGGAGCCUGGUGGGCUGCCGUCUGUGGGGUCGCACAGAGUCGAACACGACUGAAGUGACUUAGCAGCAGCAGAAUACACUUGGAGACAAGGAGUGUCGAGAGACAGAGAAGGACGUCUUGUGCUGCUGAAAGGGUCAGUUCAUUGGGAAGACACACCUGUUACUGCGUGUGUGCCUGAGGACAGGCCCUCAGAGUACAUGAAGCCAGUGGGACUUACAGAAGUGAUGGGUGAGGAUGCAAGUAACUCAUUUCCACCAAAAAAAAAAAGUGUGAAACUGGACAAAAUUGCCCAAAUGAACCAAGACAUGGCACGCAGAAUCAACCGGAGAUGGACCACAAGUUGGCAAGCGCUCGCUCCUGAAGAAGCGACGUCUCCAGGGAGACACAUGCACCUGUGGUCUCACCAGGGCUCUUCCAGGCCCACCACACAACGGGAGCUGGGAGGGUGUGCCCCCCGUGCAGGGCGGCUGCCGGCCGUCAGCGGAGGGCCCAGAAGGGGCAGGCUCCGGCGAAAAGCUGUGGCUCACCAGACAUAAUGAUUUGCUGUUCUGACAUCAGAUCAACAGAGAGAAAUUCCAAUUAGGCUUUGAAGACGCACAUAUUUCAGGAACUUGUCAUCCAGCCCUUCCCCUGCCUUACUGCAAAGAGCUAAUCGGGAG
ensembl:lncRNA